AUUGAACGCUGGCGGCAGGCCUAACACAUGCAAGUCGAACGAGUGGCGGACGGGUGAGUAAUGUCUGGGAAACUGCCUGAUGGAGGGGGAUAACUACUGGAAACGGUAGCUAAUACCGCAUACCAUCGGAUGUGCCCAGAUGGGAUUAGCUAGUAGGUGGGGUAAAGGCUCACCUAGGCGACGAUCCCUAGCUGGUCUGAGAGGAUGACCAGCAACGCUGGAACGGUGAGAUGGUCCAGAAUCGUAGGGGAGGCAGCAGUGGGGAAUAUUGCACAAUGGGGGCAAGCCUGAUGAAGCCAUGCCGCGUGUAUGAAGAAGGCAUGCGGGUUGUAAGGUGCUUUCAGCGGUGAGGCGUUACCCGCAGAAGAAGCACCGGGUAACUCCGUGCCAGCAGCCGCGGUAAUAC
rnacentral:rRNA from 1 species